rnacentral:rRNA from 1 species
UGGGGAAUUUUGGACAAUGGGGGAAACCCUGAUCCAGCCAUUCCGCGUGUGCGAUGAAGGCCUUCGGGUUGUAAAGCACUUUUGGCAGGAAAGAAAUCGCACCAAUUAAUACUUGGUGUGGAUGACGGUACCUGCAGAAUAAGCACCGGCUAACUACGUGCCAGCAGCCGCGGUAAUACGUAGGGUGCAAGCGUUAAUCGGAAUUACUGGGCGUAAAGCGUGCGCAGGCGGUUCGGAAAGAGAGGUGUGAAAUCCCAGGGCUCAACCUUGGAACUGCACUUUUAACUACCGAGCUAGAGUAUGUCAGAGGGGGGUGGAAUUCCGCGUGUAGCAGUGAAAUGCGUAGAUAUGCGGAGGAACACCGAUGGCGAAGGCAGCCCCCUGG